CGGUAGUCCGACACCCUUCUUAGUGGACUUGGCACUGCGGUGAGCACAAGGGCAAAUUAUUGUUCAAACAAUUGAUUGAAUUUAGAUGUGGAUUCAUUACGUUCCGCUAUUUUGGUUGAUAUUUCGAAAUUGAGGUUUCUGAUUCUCUGUAUAAUGGACUCGAUUUGGGCGAACAAUGGUGCCCCCGCCGUUUCUCAUUUGUUCUAUGCCAUUUUCUUCGCUUUUGGUUUCGUCAUCGUCAGAUUGUUCCUUGACAGAUUCAUCUUUCGGAGGCUAGCCGUUUUGUUGCUGCGCCUGGGAACAACCCAUCUCAGGAACGAUGAGGCUACGAGAGGAAAAAUUGUUAAAUGCUCUGAAUCCAUGUGGAAAUUUGCUUAUUAUGCAACUAUUGAGUUUUGUGUCUUAAAAGUUGCUUAUCAUGAGCCAUGGUUCCUAGAUGUGAAGGGAUAUUUCAGUGGCUGGCCAAAUCAAG
rnacentral:misc_RNA from 1 species